rnacentral:lncRNA from 1 species
UACAAGGAGAGGGCUGGUCCUAAGAGAUAUCCCAUAUGGGUUGUAACACAUGGUACCUUGGUACUAGUAUAUAAGAAAAGGGUUGGCAUGGAAAGAAUCAAUCUCAUACCACAUUAUAUUUGUGAAGUGCAACCUUGCUGGUCCUAACUUGCUUGUGUGGAGUUUGGUUUCUAUGUUUCAAUAGUAUUUGAGAGUUUUAUUAGAAAUUGAGUCAUUUUGAGUGAGGUGAUGUGAGGGAGAUGUUUGAAAGCCAUAGAAUUACAGGACAUAGCAUUUUCCACCAUUUAGACGUGAUUUGGACACAAAGUAUGCAAAAAGUUGCAAAACAGCGAAUUCUGAGUUUGUAGUUCAGCAAUCUUUGAGUAGUCAUAUCUUUUGCAUUACAACUCCAAAUCAAGAGAUUUUUGGACCUACUUGUAGCUUGAGAUGGCAUCUUUUGAGAGUGAUAGCUUAAGAAUGGUAGAAAAGUUUAGAGGUGACAACUUUCACCACUGGAAGGCCAAAAUGGAGCUACUUUUGGCGUCAUUGGAUCUUUGGGAGAUAGUAUGUGAGGAGGAAGAGGCACCUGGAUUAGAGGCAAGCAUGAAGGAGCAAAAGGACUUCAAAAGACGAGAGAAGAAGGCUUUUGGCAUAAUUGCCACCAACUUAGAUGAAACCAACUUUGCUCAUGUCAUUUCUUGCAAAGGAGCAGCAGAUGCAUGGAAGACUCUUUGCAAUGUCUAUGAGAGUAGGAAUCUUUCCAAUGUGCUAUGGUCAAGGCAAAAGUUCUUCACCGUGAAGAUGGAAGAAGGUGAAGAUCUCAUGGCUCAUGUAAAUAAGGUUAAAGCACUUGCAAAUCAACUUGCUGUUGUUGACAAGCCUUUACUUGAAGAAGAUGUUGUGAUGACAUUGCUCUCAAGCCUUCCGAACUCCUAUUCCUCCCUCAUUGUGGCAUUGGAGUCCAUUUCAAGGAAAGACCUCACUUUGGACUAUGUCACGGCAAGACUAGCCCAUGAAGUGACCAAAAGAAAGCAAAAGGAGUCUAUUGGGGAGCAAUCAGCACUAUUUACAAGACCAAGUAAGGCAAGUGCCCCUUUUCAACGUUAUCCUCCUAAAACUUGUUACAUUUGUGGAAAACCAGGCCAUUUUGCUAGAAAUUGUUUCAAGGCAAAGAGAGGAGAAAGAAAGAAUGCCAACAAUGCUUUUCAUGACCAUGGAGGUGAAGACUUUGCAUUCAUGGCAAAACAAACUCCUUCCAUGUUUGAUAUGAGCAAAUGGAUUGUGGAUUCUGGAUGUACUAAACACAUGACUCCAUACAAGUGUUCAUUUAACACUUAUCAACCUAUUCAAGCAACCAAGGUUUGGUUAGGUGAUAAUUGUAUAUUACAAGCCAUUGGAAUAGGCACCAUUAUAGUGGAGGUGGUGGUGAAGGGCAUAAGCAAGAGAAUCACUCUCAAGGAUGUGUUGCAUGUGCCAAAGAUGAAGAAGAACCUCCUUUCGGUGAGUAAACUUAUAACUCAUGGGUACAAAGUGCAAUUUAACAUGAAUGGAUGUUUUGUGAGAACCAUGGAAGGCAAAGAAGUAGCAAAAGGGACUAGGAAUGGCAAUCUCUAUAUUAUCAAUUGCAAGAGGAUCAAUGGAGUGGAGGUUGCUGCCUUUGCUGAAUUUCCAUCAAAUGAAGAUAAGGUGGGCAAUUGGCAUCAAAGACUUGGGCAUUUGAAUGCCCAAAGCAUGAAGGGGCUUCAAUCCAAGGUAAAUGGCAUAGACCUUGGCCAUUCUACCAUGAAUCUUGCUUGUGAGGGAUGCAUUCAAGGCAAACAACAUAGGACACCAUUUCCUAGAGGAGUUGCAACAAGAGCAAACCAAUUGCUAGAGCUUGUGCAUUCGGAUGUUUGUGGAUCCAUGAGGACACCAUCUAUGAGUGGUAGUGAAAAGUGGGAGAUGUGUCCAAGUGGGAGUAGUGGUGUGUUUGUGGACACAUCUUCAAUUCUAGCAAACAAACAAGAAGAAGAAGAAGAGCAUUCUCAAAGUGAAGAAGAAGAGGAAGUUGCCAUGAUAGAAGAGCCCAAUACUAUGAAUACUUCAAUUCCAGCAAGAUACAACAAGGACAAUGAAGAGAAUGAAGAUGAAGAAUACCAACAAAUGAGUAAGAGAAAGCACUCCAUGAGUCAUACAAGGCAGCAAGAGGUGCAAGAAGGCUCAUCUUCUUUGCAUGAAAGAAGAUAUCCAACACCUGAAAGAAGACCACAAGGUGAAUGGUGAAAGAACCACAUCUUUCCACAACAAUUGGAUGUAAGUGGGUGCUUAGAACUAAGAGAGAUCCAAACGAUUGAAGGUCAACAUUGGGCUAAGUAUUCUUUGUUUGAGUGGGAGCCAUAUCUUUGAAUAGCAAUACACAACCAAACAUUGCAAGGUCCACAAUAGGGGCGGAGUAUUUGGCAGCAAGUUAUGAAGCAAUGGAGGUAUUUUGGUUGAGGUUGUUAUUGGAAGAUAUUGGACUUGUGCAAUUUGAAGCUACUCCAUUGAGGUGUGACAAUCAAGGAUGUCUUGCUUUAGCAAAGAAUCCAAAGCAUCUUGGAAGAACUAAGUACAUUGAUAUUCAGCAUCAUUUCAUAAGAGAGAAGAUAGAGAUGGAGGUUAUUGAUAUGAUGUAUUGUGAAACCAAAGAAAUGUUUGCUGAUUUGUCGACAAAAGCCUUUGUUAGAGAAGGACACAACAAGUUGAGUACGGCAUUAGGAUUGAUAGCUAAUUGACCAAUAGCAAAGUGGGAGUGUUGAGAAAAGAACACUUUAAGUAGUUGCUAAUGGUUAAUAGAGUACAAGUGUUGUUAAGGACAUCCCAUAAGGUAGGGUGCUGGUCUAUAGUGCAUUAGAGUACAAGGCGAGGGCUGGUCCUAGGAGAUAUCCCAUAUGGAUUGUAGCACUUGGUACCUUGGUACUAGUAUAUAAGGAAAGGAUUGGCAUGGGAAGAAUUAUCUCAUACCACACUCUAUUUGUUAUAGUGCAACCUUGCUGGUCCUAACUUACUUGUGUGGAGUAUACUUUCUAUGUUUCAAUACUUUGGCUCAAUGUGAUGGUCUUUGACACUCUAUUUCUUCUGAAUUCCACACCCAAACAAGAGUGGAGCUCUCCCAAAUUACUCAUCUCAAAACACUUUCUCAUCAAAACACUCAAGAACAAUGAAGAAACUUCACCAACUCAAAAGACACUAUCAAGGUCUUUCUGCAAAGUCUUAACCUCACAAAGCAAGGAGAUAAGAACCCACAAAGCAAUGUUAGAGAUGUACAAGCGUAAUACCAAUAGCCUUUUUAUAUCAACAAACCUAACAUCAACAAAUACCAUAAGAUCUAAUCCACACAAAAGAAACAAAGAGAAAAUGACUUCAAAUUACUUGAAUAAUACAACAAAGAGUGUGUGGGCCCAUAACCUAUUGAAAAAAAGAACACUAUAAGCAUAAUACAAGUAAGUAGAAAUCAGCAAGGUUGCACAUAAGAGAAGUGUGGAAUGAGAUGGUUCUCUCUUCCAACUCUCGUUACUUAUAGGUGGUGGUUGCUGCCCUAAAAGGACUUCUUCCACCAUUUGACUUUUACAGAUAUGCUCCUUAGAUCCUUUGGCUCAUACCACGAGGGUAUCCAAGGAUCCUAGGAUCCUAGGGCGUCUUACAUACCACGAGGGUAUCCUAUGCCAUAUACUAAUUAUUUUUACCUAGUUCUUUGGAUAUUUCCUUGGACACACUUUAUCCUCUUGACUUUGACUCUUUGUCCUUGACCGCAUCCUAUGUCCAUAGGAUGCUUUUUCUAUAUGCCAAGAGUCAAGCCUUUGACCAUUAGCAACUUACCUAAGGUAAUUGUUGAGAAAAGAACUCUUUAAGUAGUUGCUAAUGGUCAAUAGAGUACAAGUGUUGUUAAGGAUAUCCCAUAAGGUAGGGUGCUGGUCUAUAGUGCAUUAGAGUACAAGGGGAGGGCUGGUCCUAGGAGAUAUCCCAUAUGGAUUGUAGCACUUGGUACCUUGGUACUAGUAUAUAAGGAAAGGGUUGGCAUGGGAAGAAUUAUCUCAUACCAGACUCUAUUUGUUAUAGUGCAACCUUGCUGGUCCUAACUUACUUGUGUGGAGUAUGUUUUCUUUGUUUCAAUAGGUUAUGGGCCCACAUUCUCUUACCAAGUAAGUUGUUCUUGCAUUUUAUUUUCUUUGUUGCUUGUUUGGUGGUUGAGAUCUUAUGGUAUAGUAUUACUAGUGUUUUGUUGAAGUCAUUACUCCUGGAUUUGUGAGUGUAUGAGGUUAGUGCAAGACCUUGAUAGUGUCUUUGCUGAAGUAACACUAGUAUUUGAGAGUUUUAUGAGAAAUUGAGUCAUUUUGAGUGAGGUGAUGUGAGGGAGAUGUUUGAAAGCCAUAGAAUUACAUGACAUAGCAUUUUCCACUAUUUAGACGUGAUUUGGACUCAAAGUAUGCAAAAAGUUGCAAAACAGCGAAUUCUGAGUUUGUAGUUCAGCAAUCUUUGAGUAGUCAUAUCUUUUGCAUUACAACUCCAAAUCAAGAGAUUUUUGAACCUACUUGUAGCUUGAGAUGGCAUCUUUUGAGAGUGAUAGCUUAAGAAUGGUAGAAAAGUUUAGAGGUGACAACUUUCACCACUGGAAGGCCAAAAUGGAGCUACUUUUGGCGUCAUUGGAUCUUUGGGAGAUUGUAUGUGAGGAGGAAGAGGCACCUGGGGUAGAGGCAAGCAUCAAGGAGCAAAAGGACUUCAAAAGACGAGAAAAGAAGGCUUUUGGCAUAAUUGCCACCAACUUAGAUGAAACCAACUUUGCUCAUGUCAUUUCUUGCAAAGGAGCAGCAGAUGCAUGGAAGACUCUUUGCAAUGUCUAUGAAAGUAGGAAUCUUUCCAAUGUGCUAUGGUCAAGGCAAAAGUUCUUCACCGUGAAGAUGGAAGAAGGAGAAGAUCUCAUCGCUCAUGUAAAUAAGGUAAAAGCACUUGCAAACCAACUUGCUGUUGUUGACAAGCCUUUACUUGAAGAAGAUGUUGUGAUGACAUUGCUCUCAAGCCUUCCGGACUCCUAUUCCUCCCUCAUUGUGGCAUUGGAGUCCAUUUCAAGGAAAGACCUCACUUUGGACUAUGUCACGGCAAGACUAGCCCAUGAAGUGACCAAAAGAAAGCAAAAGGAGUCUAUUAGGGAGCAAUCAGCACUAUUUACAAGACCAAGUAAGGCAAGUGCCCCUUUUCAACGUUAUCCUCCUAAAACUUGUUACAUUUGUGGAAAACCAGGCCAUUUUGCUAGAAAUUGUUUCAAGGCAAAGAGAGGAGAAAGAGAGAAUGCCAACAAUGCUUUUCAUGACCAUGGAGGUGAAGACUUUGCAUUCAUGGUAAAACAAACUCCUUCCAUGUUUGAUAUGAGCAAAUGGAUAGUGGAUUCCGGAUGUACCAAACACAUGACUCCAUACAAGUGUUCAUUUAACACUUAUCAACCAAUUCAAGCAACCAACGUUUGGUUAGGUGAUAAUUGUAUGGUACAAGCCAUUGGAAUAGGCACCAUUGUAGUGGAGGUGGUAGUGAAGGGCAUAAGCAAGAGAAUCACUUUCAAGGAUGUGUUGCAUGUGCCAAAGAUGAAGAAGAACCUCCUUUCUGUGAGUAAACUUAUAACUCAUGGGUACAAAGUGCAAUUUAACAUGAACGGAUGUUUUGUGAGAACCAUGGAAGGCAAAGAAGUAGCAAAAGGGACUAGGAAUGGCAAUCUCUAUAUUAUCAAUUGCAAGAGGAUCAAUGGAGUAGAGGUUGCUGCCUUUGCUGAAUUUCCAUCAAAUGAAGAGAAGAUGGGCAUUUGGCAUCAAAGACUUGGGCAUUUGAAUGCCAAAAGCAUGAAGGGGCUCCAAUCCGAGGUAAAUGGCAUAGACCUUGGCCAUUCUACCAUGAAUCUUGCUUGUGAGGGAUGCAUUCAAGGCAAACAACAUAGGACACCAUUUCCUAGAGGAGUUGCAACAAGAGCAAAUCAAUUGCUGGAGCUUGUGCAUUCGGAUGUUUGUGGAUCCAUGAGGACACCAUCUAUGAGUGGUAGUGAAAAGUGGGAGAUGUGUCCAAGUGGGAGUAGUGGUGUGUUUGUGGACACAUCUUCAAUUCCAGCAAACAAACAAGAAGAUGAAGAAGUGUAUUCUCAAAGUGAAGAAGGAGAGGAAGUUGCCAUGAUAGAAGAGCCCAAUACUAUGAAGACUUCAAUUCCAGCAAGAUACAACAAGGACAAUGAAGAGAAUGAAGAUGAAGAAUACCAACAAAUGAGUAAGAGAAAGCACUCCAUGAGUCAUACAAGGCAGCAAGAGGUGCAAGAAGGCUCAUCUUCUUUGCAUGAAAGAAGAUAUCCAACACGUGAGAGAAGACCACAAGGUGAAUGGUGAAAGAACCACAUCUUUCCACAACAAUUGGAUGUAAGUGGGUGCUUAGAACCAAGAGAGAUGCAAACGAUUGAAGGUCAACAAUGGGCUAUGUAUUCUUUGUUUGAGUGGGAGCCAUAUCUUCGAAUAGCAAGAGACAACCAAACAUUGCAAGGUCCACAAUAGGGGCGGAAUAUUUGGCAGCAAGUCAUAAAGCAAUGGAGGCAAUUUGAUUGAGGUUGUUAUUGGAAGAUAUUGGACUUGUGCAAUUGGAGGCUACUCCAUUGAGGUGUGAUAAUCAAGGAUGUCUUGAUUUUGGAAAGAAUCCAAAGCAUCAUGCAAGAACUAUGUACAUUGAUAUUCAGCAUCAUUUCAUAAGAGAGAAGAUAGAGAUGGAGGUUAUUGAUAUGAUGUAUUGUGAAACCAAAGACAUGUUGGCUGAUUUGUUGACAAAAGCCUUAGUUAGAGAAGGACACAACAAGUUGAGUCAGGCAUUAGGAUUGAGAGCUAAUUGACCAAUAGCAAAGUGGGAGUGUUGAGAAAAGAACUCUUUAAGUAGUUGCUAAUGGUCAAUAGAGUACAAGUGUUGUUAAGGAUAUCCCAUAAGGUAGGGUGCUGGUCUAUAGUGCAUUAGAGUACAAGGGGAGGGCUGGUCCUAGGAGAUAUCCCAUAUGGAUUGUAGCACUUGGUACCUUGGUACUAGUAUAUAAGGAAAGGGUUGGCAUGGGAAGAAUUAUCUCAUACCACAUUCUAUUUGUUAUAGUGCAACCUUGCUGGUCCUAACUUACUUGUGUGGAGUAUGUUUUCUUUGUUUCAAUAGUAAUAUCCUUUACGAGGUAACUUAUUCUACUUUAACUAUUAUCUAUUCAUCUUUAUCUUCUACCUCAACACCAUUUAGACGUAAAUUGGACUCAAAAUAUACAAAAAGUUGCAAAUCAGCGAAUUCUGGAUUUGUAAUUCUGCAAUCUUUAAGUAGUCAUAUCUUUUACAUUACAACUCCAAAUCAAGAGUUUUUUGGACCUACUUGUAGCUUGAAAUGGCUUCUUUUGACGGUGAUAGCUUAAGAGUCGUUGAAAAGUUUGGAGGUGACAUCUUUUACCACUGGACGGCCAAAAUGGAGCUCCUUUUGGCGUCAUUGGAUGUUUAGGAGAUAGUAGAUGAGGAGGAACUUGCACCUGGGGUAGAGGCAAGCAUCAAGGAGCAAAAAGACUUCAAAAGAUGAGAGAACAAGGCUUUUGGCAUAAUUACCACCAAUUUAGAUGAAAGCAACUUUGCUCAUGUCAUUUCUUGCAAAGAGGCAGCAGAUGCAUGGAAGACUCUUUGCAAUGUCUAUGAAAGUAGGAAUCUCUCCAAUGUGCUAUUGUCAAGGCAAAAAUUCUUCACGGUGAAGAUGAAAGAAAGUGAAGAUCUCAUGGCUCAUGUGAAUAAGGUAAAAGCACAUGCAAACAAACUUGCUGUUGUUGACAAGCCUUUACUUGAAGAAGAUGUUGUGAUGACAUUGCUCUCAAGCCUUCCGGACUCCUAUUCCUCCCUCAUUGUAGCAUUGGAGUCCAUUUCAAGGAAAGACCUCAAUUUGGACUAUAUCACGGCAAGAGUAGCCCAUGAAGUUGUUGAGAAAAGAACUCUUUAAGUAGUUGCUAAUGGUCAAUAGAGUACAAGUGUUGUUAAGGACAUCCCAUAAGGUAGGGUACUGGUCUAUAGUACAUUAGAGUACAAGGGGAGGGCUGGUCCUAGGACAUAUCCCAUAAGGAUUGUAGCACUUGGUACCUUGGUACUAGUAUAUAAGGAAAGGGUUGGCAUGGGAACAAUUAUCUCAUACCACACUCUAUUUGUUAUAGUGCAACCUUGCUGGUCCUAACUUACUUGUGUGGAGUAUGCUUUCUAUGUUUCAAUAGGUUAAGGGCCCACAUUCUCUUACCAAGUAAGUUGUUCUUGCAUUUUAUUUUCUUUGUUGCUUGUUUGGUGGUUGAGAUCUUAUGGUAUAGUAUUACUAGUGUUUUGUUGAAGUCAUUACUCCUGGAUUUGUGAGUGUAUGAGGUUAGUGCAAGACCUUGAUAGUGUCUUUGCUGAAGUAACACUACUAUUUGAGAGUUUUAUGAGAAAUUGAGUCAUUUUGAGUGAGGUGAUGUGAGGGAGAUGUUUGAAAGCCAUAGAAUUACAUGUCAUAGCAUUUCCCACAAUUUAGAAAAGUAUGCAAAAAGUUGCAAAACAGAGAAUUCUGAGUUUGUAGUUCAGCAAUCUUUGAGUAGUCAUAUCUUUUGCAUUACAACUCCAAAUCAAGAGAUUUUUGGACCUACUUGUAGCUUGAGAUGGCAUCUUUUGAGAGUGAUAGCUUAAGAAUGGUAGAAAAGUUUAGAGGUGACAACUUUCACCAAUGGAAGGCCAAAAUGGAACUACUUUUGGCGUCAUUGGAUCUUUGGGAGAUAGUAUGUGAGGAGGAAGAGGCACCUGGAUUAGAGGCGAGCAUGAAGGAGCAAAAGGACUUCAAAAGACGAGAAAAGAAGGCUUUUGGCAUAAUUGCCACCAACUUAGAUGAAACCAUCUUUGCUCAUGUCAUUUCUUGCAAAGGGGCAGCAGAUGCAUGGAAGACUCUUUGCAAUGUCUAUGAGAGUAGGAAUCUUUCCAAUGUGCUAUGGUCAAGGCAAAAAUUCUUCACCGUGAAGAUGGAAGAAGGUGAAGAUCUCAUGGCUCAUGUAAAUAAGGUAAAAGCACUUGCAAACCAACUUGCUGUUGUUGACAAGCCUUUACUUGAAGAAGAUGUUGUGAUGAUAUUGCUCUCAAGCCUUCCGGACUCCUAUUCCUCCCUCAUUGUGGCAUUGGAGUCCAUUUCAAAGAAAGACCUCACUUUGGACUAUGUCACGGCAAGAGUAGCCCAUGAAGUCACCAAAAGAAAGCAAAAGGAGUCUAUUGGGGAGCAAUCAGCACUAUUUACAAGACCAAGUAAGGCAAGUGCCCCUUUUCAACGUUAUCCUCCUAAAACUUGUUACAUUUGUGGAAAACCAGGCCAUUUUGCUAGAAAUUGUUUCAAGGCAAAGAGAGGAGAAAGAGAGAAUGCCAACAAUGCUUUUCAUGAUCAUGGAGGUGAAGACUUUGCAUUCAUGGCAAAACAAACUCCUUCCAUGUUUGAUAUGAGAAAAUGGAUUGUGGAUUCUGGAUGUACCAAACACAUGACUCCAUACAAGUGUUCAUUUAACACUUAUCAACCAAUUCAAGCAACCAAGGUUUGGUUAGGUGAUAAUUGUAUGGUACAAGCCAUUGGAAUAGGUAGCAUUAUAGUGGAGGUGGUGGUGAAGGCCAUAAGCAAGAGAAUCACUCUCAAGGAUGUGUUGCAUGUGCCAAAGAUGAAGAAGAACCUCCUUUCGGUGAGUAAACUUAUAACUCAUGGGUACAAAGUGCAAUUUAACAUGAAUGGAUGUUUUGUGAGAACCAUAGAAGGCAAAGAAGUAGCAAAAGGGACUAGGAAUGGCAAUCUCUAUAUUAUCAAUUGCAAGAGGAUCAAUGGAGUGGAGGUUGCUGCCUUUGCUGAAUUUCCAUCAAAUGAAGAGAAGAUGGGCAUUUUGCAUCAAAGACUUGGGCAUUUGAAUGCCAAAAGCAUGAAGGGGCUUCAAUCCAAGGUAAAUGGCAUAGACCUUGGCCAUUCUACCAUGAAUCUUGCUUGUGAGGGAUGCAUUCAAGGCAAACAACAUAGGACACCAUUUCCUAGAGGAGAUUCAACAAGAGCAAAUCAAUUGCUGGAGCUUGUGCAUUCGGAUGUUUGUGGAUCCAUGAGGACACCAUCUAUGAGUGGUAGUGAAAAGUGGGAGAUGUGUCCAAGUGGGAGUAGUGGUGUGUUUGUGGACACAUCUUCAAUUCCAGCAAACAAACAAGAAGAUGAAGAAGUGUAUUCUCAAAGUGAAGAAAGAGAGGAAGUUGCCAUGAUAGAAGAGCCCAAUACUAUGAAGACUUCAAUUCCAGCAAGAUACAACAAGGACAAUGAAGAGAAUGAAGAUGAAGAAUACCAACAAAUGAGUAAGAGAAAGCACUCCAUGAGUCAUACAAGGCAGCAAGAGGUGCAAGAAGGCUCAUCUUCUUUGCAUGAAAGAAGAUAUCCAACACGUGAGAGAAGACCACAAGGUGAAUGGUGAAAGAACCACAUCUUUCCACAACAAUUGGAUGUAAGUGGGUGCUUAGAACUAAGAGAGAUGCAAACGAUUGAAGGUCAACAAUGGGCUAUGUAUUCUUUGUUUGAGUGGGAGCCAUAUCUUCGAAUAGCAAGAGACAACCAAAUAUUGCAAGGUCCACAAUAGGGGCGGAAUAUUUGGCAGCAAGUCAUAAAGCAAUGGAGGCAAUUUGAUUGAGGUUGUUAUUGGAAGAUAUUGGACUUGUGCAAUUGGAGGCUACUCCAUUGAGGUGUGAUAAUCAAGGAUGUCUUGAUUUUGGAAAGAAUCCAAAGCAUCAUGCAAGAACUAAGUACAUUGAUAUUCAGCAUCAUUUCGUAAGAGAGAAGAUAGAGGUGGAGGUUAUUGAUAUGAUGUAUUGUGAAACCAAAGACAUGUUUGCUGAUUUGUUGACAAAAGCCUUAGUUAGAGAAGGACACAACAAGUUGAGUAAGGCAUUAGGAUUGAUAGCUAAUUGACCAAUAGCAAAGUGGGAGUGUUGAGAAAAGAACUCUUAAAGUAGUUGCUAAUGGUCAAUAGAGUACAAGUGUUGUUAAAGACAUCCCAUAAGGUAGGGUGCUGGUCUGUAGUACAUUAGAGUACAAGGGGAGGGCUGGUCCUAGGAGAUAUCCCAUAUGGAUUGUAGCACUUCGUACCUUGGUACUAGUAUAUAAGGAAAGGGUUGGCAUGGGAAGAAUUAUCUCAUACUACACUCUAUUUGUUAUAGUGCAACCUUGCUGGUCCUAACUUACUUGUGUGGAGUAUGCUUUCUAUGUUUCAAUAGGGCUUUGACAAUUAGCAAAGUGGGAGUGUUGAGGUAAAAGAUAUAGAUGAAUAGAUAAUAGUUAAAGUAGAAUAAGUUACCUCGUAAAGGAUAUUACCUUAGGUAAGUUGCUAAUAGUCAAAGGCUUGACUCUUGGCAUAUAGAAAAAACAUCCUAUGGACAUAGGAUGCGAUCAAAGACAAAGAGUCAAAGUCAAGAGGAUAAAGUGUGUCCUAGUGAAUAUCCAAAGAGGUGAUGUGAGNNNNNNNNNNNNNNNNNNNNNNNNNNNNNNNNNNNNNNNNNNNNNNNNNNNNNNNNNNNNNNNNNNNNNNNNNNNNNNNNNNNNNNNNNNNNNNNNNNNNUUGGACUCAAAGUAUGCAAAAAGUUGCAAAACAGAGAAUUCUGAGUUUGUAGUUCAGCAAUCUUUGAGUAGUCAUAUCUUUUGCAUUACAACUCCAAAUCAAGAGAUUUUUGGACCUACUUGUAGCUUGAGAUGGCAUCUUUUGAGAGUGAUAGCUUAAGAAUGGUAGAAAAGUUUAGAGGUGACAACUUUCACCACUGAAAGGCCAAAAUGGAGCUGCUUUUGGCGUCAUUGGAUCUUUGGGAGAUAGUAUGUGAGGAGGAAGAGGCACCUGGAUUAGAGGCAAGCAUGAAGGAGCAAAAGGAAUUCAAAAGACGAGAAAAGAAGGCUUUUGGCAUAAUUGCCACCAAUUUAGAUGAAACCAACUUUGUUCAUGUCAUUUCUUUCAAAGGGGCAGCAGAUGUUGAAGGAAAGAACUCAUUUAGUUGUUGCUAAUGGUCAAUAGAGUAUAUGAGUAAUGAGGGAUAUCCUACAAGGUAAGUUGCUGGUCUAUAGAGCCUUAGAAUACAAGGAGAGGCUGGUCCUAAGAAAUAUCCCAUAUGGGUUGUAACACAUGGUACCUUCGUACUAGUAUAUAAGAAAAGGGUUGGCAUGGGAAGAAUUAUCUCAUACCACAUUCUAUUUGUGAAGUGCAACCUUGCUGGUCCUAACUUGCUUGUGUGGAGUUUGCUUUCUAUGUUUCAAUAGGUUAUGGGCCCACACUCUCUUACCAAGUAAGUUGUUCUUGCAUUAUUUCUUUGUU